rnacentral:rRNA from 1 species
GACGAACGCUGGCGGCGUGCUUAACACAUGCAAGUCGAACGGAAAGGCCCUGCUUUUGUGGGGUGCUCGAGUGGCGAACGGGUGAGUAACACGUGAGUAACCUGCCCUUGACUUUGGGAUAACUUCAGGAAACUGGGGCUCAUACCGGAUAGGAGCUCCUGCUGCAUGGUGGGGGUUGGAAAGUUUCGGCGGUUGGGGAUGGACUCGCGGCUUAUCAGCUUGUUGGUGGGGUAGUGGCUUACCAAGGCUUUGACGGGUAUCCGGCCUGAGAGGGGGACCGGGCACAUGGGGACUGAGAUACGGCCCAGAAUCCAACGGGAGGCAGCAGGGGGGAAUAUUGCAGAAUGGGCGGAAGCCUGAGGCAGCAACGCCGCGUGCGGGAUGACGGCCUUCGGGUUGUAAACCGCUGUCGCCUGUGACGAAGCGUGAGUGACGGUAAUGGGUAAAGAAGCACCGGCUAACUACGUG